rnacentral:rRNA from 1 species
UACGUAGGGUGCGAGCGUUGUCCGGAAUUAUUGGGCGUAAAGGGCGCGUAGGCGGUUUGUACAGUCAGACGUGAAAUUCCUGGGCUCAACCUGGGGGCUGCGUUUGAUACGUGCGGACUUGAGUUCGGAAGAGGGUCGUGGAAUUCCCAGUGUAGAGGUGAAAUUCGUAGAUAUUGGGAAGAACACCGGUGGCGAAGGCGGCGACCUGGUCCGAUACUGACGCUGAGGCGCGAAAGCGUGGGGAGCAAACAGG